ACUCCUACGGAAGGCAGCAGUGGGGAAUAUUGGACAAUGGGCGCAAGCCUGAUCCAGCCAUGCCGCGUGAGUGACGAAGGUCUUCGGAUUGUAAAGCUCUUUUGGCGGGGACGAUAAUGACGGUACCCGCAGAAUAAGCCCCGGCUAACUUCGUGCCAGCAGCCGCGGUAAU
rnacentral:rRNA from 1 species